rnacentral:rRNA from 1 species
AUUGAACGCUGGCGGCAGGCCUAACACAUGCAAGUCGAACGAGUGGCGGACGGGUGAGUAAUGUCUGGGAAACUGCCCGAUGGAGGUGGGUAACUACUGGAAACGGUAGCUAAUACCGCAUACCAUCGGAUGUGCCCAGAUUGGAUUAGCUUGUAGGUGGGGUAACGGCUCACCUAGGCAACGAUGCCUAGCUUGCCUGAGAGGAUGACCAGCCACACUGGAACUGAGACACGGUCCAGACUCCUACGGGAGGCAGCAGUGGGGAAUAUUGCGCAAUGGGCGCAAGCCUGACGCAGCCAUGCCGCGUGUAUGAAGAAGGCCUUCGGGUUGUAAAGUACUUUCAGCAGGGAGGCGUUACCCGCAGAAAAAGCCCCGGCUAACUCCGUGCCAGCAGCCGCGGUAAUUC